rnacentral:rRNA from 1 species
AGGAUGAACGCUGGCGGCGUGCCUAACACAUGCAAGUCGAACGUCCUGUCUCGUAAGAGGCAGGGAGUGGCGGACGGGUGAGUACCACGUGGGUUAUCUACCGUGAGGUGAGGAAUACCGGCGAGAAAUCGCCGACAAGACCGCAUAGCCUCGGUGCAAGCCGAGCAAAGCUCUUUCGAGAGAGGGAGCGCCACACGAGGAGCCUGCGCCCGAUUAGCUAGCUGGUGGAGUAACGGUUCACCAGGGCGACGAUCGGUAGCUGGUCUGAGAGGACGAUCAGCCACACUGGGAUUGAGAACGGCCCAGACUCCUACGGGGGGCAGCAGUGAGGAAUUUUCGUCAAUGGGGCAACCCUGAACGAGCAACGCCGCGUGCAGGAAGAAGGUUUUCGGAUCGUAAACUGCUUUUCGUCGGGGAAGAGAACGGACGGUACCCGAGGAAUCGAGCCCCGGCUAACUACGUGCCAGCAGCCGC